GGCAACGGGUGAGUAACAUGUGGGUAUCUGCCCUUUGGCCUGGAAUAACACGAGGAAACUUGUGCUAAUACUAGAUAAGUCUUUACGGAGAAAGCUUUAUGCACCAUUGGAUGAGCCCGCACUUGAUUAGUUUGUUGGUGAGGUAAUGGCUUACCAAGACAAUGAUCAAUAGCUGAUUUGAGAGGAUGAUCAGCCACAUUGGGACUGAGACACGGCACAAACUCCUACGGGAGGCAGCAGUGGGGAAUCUUGCACAAUGGAGGAAACUCUGAUGCAGCGAUGCCGCGUGAGUGAAGAAGGCCCUUGGGUUGUAAAGCUCUUUCGUCGGGGAAGAAAAUGACUGUACCCGAAUAAGAAGGUCCGGCUAACUUCGUGCCUGCAGCCGCGGUAAUACGAAGGGACCUAGCGUAGUUCGGAAUUACUGGGCUUAAAGAGUUC
rnacentral:rRNA from 1 species